UACGGAGGGUGCAAGCGUUAUCCGGAUUUACUGGGUUUAAAGGGUGUGUAGGCGGGCUUUUAAGUCAGUGGUGAAAUCUCCGGGCUCAACCCGGAAACUGCCAUUGAUACUAUUAGUCUUGAAUUUUGUUGAGGUAGGCGGAAUAAGUCAUGUAGCGGUGAAAUGCUUAGAUAUGACUUAGAACACCAAUUGCGAAGGCAGCUUGCUAAACAAACAUUGACGCUGAGGCACGAAAGCGUGGGGAU
rnacentral:rRNA from 1 species